CGGAGCUGCCCCUUGCUGCGGGCAGAGCCGCCUCCGAGAGGGAGUGUUCCUCCCGCCGAGAUGCGGAGGGCGGUGGGGGAGCGGAGACCCGCCUCCGGGGGCUGCGAGGCCGGCCCGGUCAGCGGGGUCAGCAUCACCCUCGGUCCCCAGGCGUCCUCCCGGGAGGAGCAGGGCGAGCCCGGCGAAGGGAGGCGGCUGGGCGUGGGUUUUCAUCCUGUUCGGCGCAAGGGUCUCUCCAGAGCAUUGUCAGCUCCCGCGCUGGAAAUGCUCGGGUCACGUCUCAUACCUGUGCAGACACAGGGCAGUCAGCAGCACACAAGUCCCAGGGCACCGUGCCCCGCAGAUUUACCUCCUUGUGCAUGUUUCCCAGCACUGGCUGUGUUUUACCGUGCUUGCAGGCCCUGGCAGGUAGGGAAGCACCAACGUGAAGCAAAUGCCCAGAGCUGCUUUCUGUCACAAUCUCUCGGUUGACAGGGCAGUAUUUUCUUCCUUGGGGACAUUUCAGGAAGGGAUCCAUCCGCCUUGCGACAGUCUUGAAGCGCUCUCCCCAUCAUUAGCAGAACAAAGGCCUAUGUUAUGCCUUAAACAUCUGGUUUUUGUUACUUUGGGAGGAAAAGAUAAAUGAUUGUGGAGGCAGGCAUCUCAUCUUUCCCAAGAUUUUGUGAUUGAUACUUUGAGCCGAAAAGAUAGAUGGCCAUGGAGGCAGAAGAUAAAGUGAAUUAACAGUGUUGCUGUGAAAGGCCUCAUGGCCUAAUUGGGAUGAUAAAGAUGGACAAACAGCUACCAGAAGAAACCACAAAUCAACAGUUACCUCUGACAGGCAAAACAACUCACUUCUGGCCCUUAGUCUGAAGACCCCACACCCAUUUCCAGAAGAGUCUUCCUAAUUAGCAUGAAGAGCGAACAGAGGGAGGAAACAAACCACCCUCUCCUAUCUUGCAUAUAAAUGAACUGGGUUAUAAAACGACCUCACACAUGAUACGAGGUGGUGGCAUGUAAAUCCUCAAUGCGUCCCCCCCCCAGAGGUCAUCGUGAGACCUGUGGAGCGGUGAUAUCUUACCUUUCCUUGUCUCUCUCUCUUUUCCCUUCUCCUGAAUGUAUAAAAGUAAUAUCAUUGUAAGUUCUCCUGCUAAAGUCUUGUGAAGUUUUGCAUUAUAGUUACUAAUUGUUGUCAAUCCACUGUUUUUUAUAAAGGCUUUUGCCAUCAAUGUAUUGAUAAUUUUUGUGUUAUUAUAACAUACUUUUGCCAAGUCACUGAUCACUGUAAUUUGAAUUCCACCAUGUGCUUUUAGUAAAUUCAUAACUGAACCCCCGGA